GCAGCGCCAAGCGGAAGAAGGCGUGCUCGCCCAGCGAGCUGAGCAGAGCGCUGCCCAGGCCCAGGCACAGCAACACGAAGAGGCCCGAGAAGUGGUAGAUGCUCAUCUGCAGGGUCUGGGGGCAACACAGCAGGAGCCCCGCAAGGUCAAUGAAGCCGGAGGACUUGUAGCGGCUGAUGAACUCGGACAGGUUGGAGCUGCCAGGGCAACCUGGUGCAGACCCCUAAUGAAUAGGUGGGUCUGGCUGCUGAGGUCACACCAGCCAAGGCCUCCCCACGGGACUCCAGCACCACCAAAAACCCAAACUUGAAUCCCAUCGUGCCUGUGGGUCAGCAGCAUCUGAUGGAAGUUUCUGUAUGAUGAAAAGGCUUUGACGGCUCAGCUGUGCAGCGUUUACAUUGGAAGAGCCGCCGGCAGCAGUCAGCUCACCUGACAGCAUGGCAUCUACGCUUUACUACCGUUUCACAGGGGACACCAGGGGCUGGGGAGCAGGCCAGGCACCCCCAGGGGACACCACUGGGCAGAUCCAAAAGUUCAGAGACACUACGGGGCAGAAAACCCGACUUUGCCAAGAAAUUACAAGGGGAGGCCGGGCACGAUGGCUCACGUCUAAUCCCAGCACUGUGGGAGGCUGAGGCAGGAGAAUUGCUUGAACCUGGGAGGUGGAGGUUGCGGUGAGCUGAGAUCACUGCACUCCAGCUCUGGGCAAGAGUGAGACUAUGUCUCAAAAAACAAUAAUAAUAAUAUGGGCCAGAUGUGGUGGCUCACACCUGUGAUCCCAGCACUUGGGAGGCCGAGGUGGGCGGAUCACGAGGUCAGGGAUUCGAGACCAGCCUGGCCAACAUGGUGAAACCCCCAUCUCUUCUGAAAAUACAAAAGCCAGGCUUGGUGGUGCACACCUGUAAUCCCAGCUACUUGGGAGGCUGAGGCAGGAGAAUCGCUUGAGCCCAGGAGGCAGAGGUUGCAGUGAGCCAAGAUCGUGCCACUGCGCUCCAGCCUGGGUGAUGGAGCAAGACUGUCUCAAAAAAGAAAAGAAAAGAAAAAUAGGCUGGACGCGGUGGCUCACGCCUGUAAUCCCAGCACUUUGGGAGGCCAAGGUGGGAGAACUGCUUGAGCCCCAGCGUUUGAGACCAGCCUGAACAACAUAGCCAGCCCCCCAUCUCUGUGUUUUUUGUUUUGUUUUUUGUUUUUUGAGACGGAGUCUUGCUCUGUUGCCCAGGCUAGAGUGCAAUGGUGCCAUCUUGAUUCACUGCAACCUCCGCCUCCUGGGUUCAAGUGAUUCUCCUGCCUCAGCCUCCCGAGUAGCUGGGAUUACGGGUGCCCACCACCAUGCCCAGCUAAUUCUUUGUAUUUUUUAGUAAAGAUGGGGUUUCACCAUGUUGGCCAGGCUCCAGUUUGAGACUCCUGACUUCAGGUGAUCUGCCUGCCUUGGUCUCCCAAAGUGCUGGGAUUACAGCCGUGAGCCACCGCGCCCGGCUAUUUUUCUUUAAAUAAAUUAAUUAAUUGCAUAAA